UGCAAGUCGAACGAACUCUGGUAUUGAUUGGUGCUUGCAUCAUGAUUUACAUUUGAGUGAGUGGCGAACUGGUGAGUAACACGUGGGAAACCUGCCCAGAAGCGGGGGAUAACACCUGGAAACAGAUGCUAAUACCGCAUAACAACUUGGACCGCAUGGUCCGAGUUUGAAAGAUGGCUUCGGCUAUCACUUUUGGAUGGUCCCGCGGCGUAUUAGCUAGAUGGUGGGGUAACGGCUCACCAUGGCAAUGAUACGUAGCCGACCUGAGAGGGUAAUCGGCCACAUUGGGACUGAGACACGGCCCAAACUCCUACGGGAGGCAGCAGUAGGGAAUCUUCCACAAUGGACGAAAGUCUGAUGGAGCAACGCCGCGUGAGUGAAGAAGGGUUUCGGCUCGUAAAACUCUGUUGUUAAAGAAGAACAUAUCUGAGAGUAACUGUUGAGGUAUUGACGGUAUUUAACCAGAAAGCCACGGCUAACUACGUGCCAGCAGCCGCGGUAAUACGUAGGUGGCAAGCGUUGUCCGGAUUUAUUGGGCGUAAAGCGAGCGCAGGCGGUUUUUUAAGUCUGAUGUGAAAGCCUUCGGCUCAACCGAAGAAGUGCAUCGGAAACUGGGAAACUUGAGUGCAGAAGAGGACAGUGGAACUCCAUGUGUAGCGGUGAAAUGCGUAGAUAUAUGGAAGAACACCAGUGGCGAAGGCGGCUGUCUGGUCUGUAACUGACGCUGAGGCUCGAAAGUAUGGGUAGCAAACAGGAUUAGAUACCCUGGUAGUCCAUACCGUAAACGAUGAAUGCUAAGUGUUGGAGGGUUUCCGCCCUUCAGUGCUGCAGCUAACGCAUUAAGCAUUCCGCCUGGGGAGUACGGCCGCAAGGCUGAAACUCAAAGGAAUUGACGGGGGCCCGCACAAGCGGUGGAGCAUGUGGUUUAAUUCGAAGCUACGCGAAGAACCUUACCAGGUCUUGACAUACUAUGCAAAUCUAAGAGAUUAGACGUUCCCUUCGGGGACAUGGAUACAGGUGGUGCAUGGUUGUCGUCAGCUCGUGUCGUGAGAUGUUGGGUUAAGUCCCGCAACGAGCGCAACCCUUAUUAUCAGUUGCCAGCAUUAAGUUGGGCACUCUGGUGAGACUGCCGGUGACAAACCGGAGGAAGGUGGGGAUGACGUCAAAUCAUCAUGCCCCUUAUGACCUGGGCUACACACGUGCUACAAUGGAUGGUACAACGAGUUGCGAACUCGCGAGAGUAAGCUAAUCUCUUAAAGCCAUUCUCAGUUCGGAUUGUAGGCUGCAACUCGCCUACAUGAAGUCGGAAUCGCUAGUAAUCGCGGAUCAGCAUGCCGCGGUGAAUACGUUCCCGGGCCUUGUACACACCGCCCGUCACACCAUGAGAGUUUGUAACACCCAAAGUCGGUGGGGUAACCUUUUAGGAACCAGCCGCCU
rnacentral:rRNA from 2 species